rnacentral:rRNA from 1 species
GGCGGACGGGUGAGUAACGCGUUGGGUAACCUACCCAUAAAACUGGGACAACUCUGGGAAACUGGAGCUAAUACCAGAUACGCUCGGUAAGUGGCAUCUCUAACCGAGGAAAGGUGGCCUCUGAAAAUGCUGCCGAUUAUGGAUGGACCCGCGUCUGAUUAGCUAGUUGGUAGGGUAACGGCCUACCAAGGCGACGAUCAGUAGCCGGCCUGAGAGGGUGGCCGGCCACACUGGGACUGAGACACGGCCCAGACUCCUACGGGAGGCAGCAGUGGGGAAUAUUGCGCAAUGGGCGAAAGCCUGACGCAGCAACGCCGCGUGGGUGAAGAAGGCCUUCGGGUUGUAAAGCCCUGUCUUUUUGGACGAAGUGCUUUCAGGU